rnacentral:rRNA from 1 species
CGGCCAGACUCCUACGGGAGGCAGCAGUGGGGAAUAUUGCACAAUGGGCGAAAGCCUGAUGCAGCAACGCCGCGUGAUUGAAGAAGGCCUUCGGGUUGUAAAGAUCUUUAAUCAGGGACGAAAAAUGACGGUACCUGAAGAAUAAGCUCCGGCUAACUACGUGCCAGCAGCCGCGGUAAUACGUAGGGGGCAAGCGUUAUCCGGAUUUACUGGGUGUAAAGGGAGCGUAGACGGCGAAGAAAGUCUGAAGUGAAAGCCCGCGGCUCAACCGCGGAAUGGCCUUGGAAACUUUUUUGCUGGAGUACCGGAGAGGUAAGCGGAAUUCCUAGUGUAGCGGUGAAAUGCGUAGAUAUUAGGAGGAACACCAGUGGCGAAGGCGGCUUACUGGACGGUAACUGACGUUGAGGCUCGAAAGCGUGGGGAGCAAACAGGAUUAGAUACCCUAGUA